AUAAGUACAGUAUAUCAUCAUCAACAUUUAAUGUCCAUUGUAUAUGGAUGUGUGUGUAUGUAAAUGAAUGAAUGUGUAUAGAUAUACAUACCUAUAAUCACACAUGCUUAUACAUAUACAUACAUAAGUAGUGUUUUACUCUCUGUUAUGUUGACAUAUAUGGACACGUCACCAUUAAGCAAUAGAAAUAGUGUAUAGGAAAGAAACAAACCAAACUGUAUUGAAUCCAUUUCACAGUCAGAUAAAGUUUGAAGAAUGAAUAGUGAGGGACCUUCUGAUACCACCGGUGUUGAACAACACAAACCUGACUCACCAUUCAAUAGCAGAGAAUUCUGGUCACCAUGGUUUAACAACAGCCAUGUAGAAAAUCCUGUGAGUUUAUCAGCUGAACUUCUGCCACAUGAUGAAUUGAAUCGCUAUAGACAGGCAGUGCGCAGAAUGGGAGAGGAUAUUCUGGCACUGAAUAGCCAAGUGGCACAGCUGCAAGCAGCCAACAUACAAUUGCAGAAUAUUGUAGCACGGCAUGAAAAUCUGACAGACUUUCAUGUUGAGUACAGUAACCUUGAUGGAAUCACCAAAGCUGAGAUUAUGGAAAAUUAUGCUACAUUGAAGUUGAAGAUGAUUAGUCAGACAAAUGAGUUGAACAACUACAAACAGAAAAUAGUACAGUUGCAGAAUGAAAUAAUAAAGAAAAAUGACCAAGAAAAAUAUUAUCUUAGACUUUCUGAAGCUCAUAAAAAUCAGCAAAAUCUAAUUCAACGAUUACAGGAGAAAACUAAGAAAAUUUAUGGUUUGGAAGAUGUUUGUGUUAAACAAGAGAAAGUCAUAGAAUGUCUUCAGAAUAAGAUAGAAAACCAAAUUACAGCAUCAAAGCUUUGCAACGAAAAACUGCGACAGAGUAGUUCAUUGAAGUUGAGAAAUAAACAGUUAGCUGAAGAAUGUGAUAAACUCCGGGAUCAACUGAAUCAAGAAUUGUUAUCAAAGUCAGCAGAUCAAGAGAAAUUUGAAUUGUAUGACAUCAUAAAAGAAAAUGAACUGAAGAUUGCAGCUCUUGAGGAACAGUUAAUUAGCAACAGUGAAGAAUGGAAAAAAGAAAAAGCUGAUCUCAUGGUUGAACUCAAUGAAGCAAAACAUGGCUUUGUACGUGGUGUGGAGAUGACUCUACCUUUGGUUAUGGAGUCUCGAGUUUGGGUCUUUGUGUCACCCCACCCAAAAUGUUGAGUAGCAAUACGAGAAGACACAAUAAUCGAUUAAAUCGACAUCAGAAAGAUGAAAAGCAAAGAUGACCUCGACAAGAUUUGAAUUCACAGUACAAAAGGCAGCAGCAGAAAACUCGCAAGUUGUUCUAACAUUUCUACCAACUUACCACGCUAUAUAGGAACAAUAAAGAACCACUAGUAAAAGCGUUACACGUUGCCUAUAAUCAGAUUUACAUCAAUACGUCACAUAUUUCAUGCCAUCAUUGUAACAACGUCUAUUUAUAAAACUGUUAUACACUCAAGCUAACUAUAAAGUGCGAGGAAUAAUGCUUCAUUGUGUUUUUGCUAUUAAGCAAAUCCGAAAUACCGUGAAUCCUUUAUACACAAAGGUCAGCGAUCAACAAACAUUGUUGAACCUAGAGGUUGUUCAAGAACAGCAGCUCACAGACAGUCACGAGUUGGCUCCAAUCGAUAACAAAGAAAAGGACGAAGAUUAUGACCACACACACACAAAUAAAUUUCUGUAAAUCUA